rnacentral:rRNA from 1 species
UACGAAGGUGGCAAGCGUUACUCGGAAUUACUAGGCGUAAAGGGCAGGUAGGUGGCCCUAUAAGUCUGUUGUGAAAGCUCCCGGCUCAACUGGGAGAGGUCAACAGAUACUGUAGGGCUUGAGUAUGGGAGAGGGUACUGGAAUUCCUGGUGUAGCGGUGAAAUGCGCAGAGAUCAGGAGGAACACCGAUGGCGAAAGCAGGUACCUGGACCAUUACUGACACUCAGCUGCGAAAGCUAGGGGAGCAAACAGG